UUACGGGAGGCAGCAGUGGGGAAUAUUGGACACUGGGGGCAACCCUGAUCCAGCCAUGCCGCGUGAGUGAUGAAGGCCUUCGGGUUGUAAAGCUCUUUCGCACGCGACGAUGAUGACGGUAGCGUGAGAAGAAGCCCCGGCUAACUUCGUGCCAGCAGCCGCGGUAAUACGAAGGGGGCAAGCGUUGUUCGGAAUGACUGGGCGUAAAGGGCGCGUAGGCGGUCGCGUGCGUCAGGUGUGAAAGCCCCGGGCUCAACCUGGGAACGGCACUUGAGACGGCGCGGCUGGAGAGCGGGAGAGGAGUGUGGAAUUCCCAGUGUAGAGGUGAAAUUCGUAGAUAUUGGGAAGAACACCAGUGGCGAAGGCGGCACUCUGGCCCGUUUCUGACGCUGAGGCGCGAAAGCGUGGGGAGCAAACAGGCUUAGAUACCCCGGUAGA
rnacentral:rRNA from 1 species